rnacentral:lncRNA from 1 species
CGCUAGUCCACUUCCACUCCGUCGCUAGCUCUCGCCAUUUGUGGUGGGGGAAAGCGAGCUUCGAGCUCGCACUCACCAAACCAAGCUCACUCACCUCGUCCCGCUGACCAACCUCCCCGAAUCCCACCCAAAGAUCCAGUCUUUUCCACCCCCAAGAAGGUAAUUUCCACCCGCCGGCGAUGGGCGCCUGCGCGGUGCUCCUGGCCGCGCUCCUGCUGGCCCUGGCCGCGCAGUGGG